GUGCACAGGGAGUGGGGGUGGGUGCAGUUCAGAGCAACUGUAGUGAAAGACAUGAAUAAUUUCUGGGCCGAGCUUCCCCACACGGUAGCAGAAGAAGAAGUCUAAACAAAGCAAAGUAUUUCCGUAACCCUCUGUAUAAUCAGAGGUACCGAUGCGGGUUAUCAAGAAUUAUUGAUAAUUAUUAACGUGCAUCGUGUUUUGCAUGACGAGAUUUCUUUUAAAGCUAUAAAUUUGAUUUCGUUCCUGCUGACAACACUCCCUUGUCAUCCUGGCUUGGGACUGGCUUCUAACUAUACCACUUGUUAGCUUAUUUUGC